GAUGAACGCUGGCGGCGUGCUUAACACAUGCAAGUCGAACGAGAAGUGAAGACGGAAACCUUCGGGCGGAAGGCUUUAUUUCGAGUGGCGGACGGGUGAGUCACGCGUGGGUAACCUGCCUCAUACAGGGGGAUAACAGUUGGAAACGACUGUUAAUACCGCAUAAGACCACAGCACCGCAUGGUGCGGGGGUAAAAACUCCGGUGGUAUGAGAUGGACCCGCGUUCGAUUAGCCAGUUGGCGGGGUAACGGCCCACCAAAGCGACGAUCGAGAGCCGAUCUGAGAGGAUGACCGGCCACAUUGGGACUGAGACACGGCCCAAACUCCUACGGGAGGCAGCAGUGGGGAAUAUUGCACAAUGGGGGAAACCCUGAUGCAGCGACGCCGCGUGAGUGAAGAAGUAUUUCGGUAUGUAAAGCUCUAUCAGCAGGGAAGAAAAUGACGGUACCUGAGUAAGAAGCCCCGGCUAACUACGUG
rnacentral:rRNA from 1 species